rnacentral:misc_RNA from 1 species
GAUGAAGAACGCAGCGAAAUGCGAUACGUAAUGUGAAUUGCAGAAUUCAGUGAAUCAUCGAGUCUUUGAACGCACAUUGCGCCCCCUGGUAUUCCGGGGGGCAUGCCUGUCCGAGCGUCAUUGCUGCCCUCAAGCACGGCUUGUGUUUGGGCCUCCGUCCUCCUCCCGGGGGACGGGCCCGAAAGGCAGCGGCGGCACCGCGUCCGGUCCUCGAGCGUAUGGGGCUUCGUCACCCGCUCUUGUAGGCCCGGCCGGCGCUUGCCGACACAUCAAUCUUUUUUCCAGGUUGACCUCGGAUCAGGUAGGGAUACCCGCUGAACUUAAGCAUAUCAAUAAGCGGAGGA